rnacentral:rRNA from 1 species
CACGUAGGGGGCGAGCGUUGUCCGGAUUCAUUGGGCGUAAAGAGCUCGUAGGCGGCUCAGUAAGUCGGGUGUGAAACCCUCAGGCUCAACCUGGGGACGCCACUCGAUACUGCUGUGGCUAGAGUCCAGUAGAGGAGUGUGGAAUUCCCGGUGUAGCGGUGAAAUGCGCAGAUAUCGGGAGGAACACCAACGGCGAAGGCAGCACUCUGGGCUGGAACUGACGCUGAGGCGCGAAGGCGUGGGAGCGAACGGG